AUUUUUUUUUUCAUUUUCACUUUUAACUUUUCGUGCCUUAGUGUCGGGCUCCCUAGCUUGAUUCUUCCGUGACCUCCGAAGUUUGCCGCAAGGUCGUCCCUUCCUUCAGCUUGAGUUUGCAGUGGUUAGUGUGACCCACAUCACAGGUAGCGCAUCCUAGCCUCCAUUGUUUCCAGCUGCCUCCGUCGUGCAUGGAGAUCUAGGUCUUAGUGCGAUUUGGACGUCACUGCGAGAAGCACGAGGUGAGAUCUGGACUCUGCUGCGAGAACCUCGUCCAAACCCUUCUUGGCUUCUUCUAAUGCCGCUGCUAAGUAUUCAUAUAAAUAAAUUAGUUUACUGUUCUAUCUUCCUACCUAUCUUAGUUUUUUACGGAAAGAUGAUGAAAGCCUGUGUUGUAUAUGAGGGGUUGAGUUUUUCUUCUAUUUUUUUGUUGUCUAUGCAUUUGAUUGAACUCUGAUUCUUUUUUUCUUUUUACACUAAGUCUUUGCUUCUUAUUGCAUAUAUGUGAGAGUGACUUCAACCCUUUACACUAAGCUCUCUUUAGAUUAGGCAAUGACAAUAUACAUGAUUAGAAUAAUGUUCUAUGUGUUCCUCUUUAUUUGUGCAUUGUCAUUGCAUUAUUCCAUAUUUAUUGGCUAAUAAUCCAUGGACUAUUCCUCUGCUCGACCCCCAUUCCUAGAUUCUGGAAUUGGAAAGAAUAGACAAAGAUAUGGAAGAAAAACUGCUCAAUUGGAAGUCGUAUCUGGACAUUGCUAAUUUGUUUGUGUACUUGAAUGAAUAUGUUCUAGAAGAAAGUAGAAAUAUAAUAACCAUGCUUAAACCCCUAUCCCUAUUCUGUUUUAAAUGAAUUUAGAUUCACCUUUGAAUCAUUGAAUAAUUGAUGCCUAUGUAUUUGAUAUGUUAUGAUGUGGUUUAAUAUGUGUACGUACUUGCUGAAUUUUGAGUCUUAUUGUACAAGUCUAUCUUUAAAACUCAGUAUGACUACCAAAUACUAGUUACAGAAAAAUAGAGAUAGAUAGAGAUCUCAACAUAUGUAUGGCAUUGCUUUGCACAUCUUGUCAUAUCCUUAUAUCAUAUAUAUAUAUGUUUUGCAAUGAUGAGAAUCAUUGCAGCUAAUGAGUGCAAUUUAUGUUGUUGUUUUCAAUUUUGUUUUUAUGAAUAAGUUGCAACAAAAAGGAAAAAAGGAACCACGCUACUUAAACUGCUUUGUUGGCUUUUACCAGAUUUACAUAUUCCAUGAACAAACAUAACCACCAUAACUCAAAGGUUAGAAGUCCUCAAAGAAGACCUCAGUGCCAGAGUUACAAGUCCCGAAACAGGCCCACCAAUCAGUCACAACAUUUCCUACACGAAGGAUGUGGAGAAAAUUAACUUGUUCCUGCAUGUCUCUGAUCGUAUCAACCUGCAUGCAAUAAGGUAUUCUAAUUUAUUAAGGAGCAAGGGUCCAUUAAUUUGUGGUGCAAGCUGCAGGGAACAAGGGUCCAGCAUCUUCAAGUGUCGUGUCAUUCGAUCCCCGUGGAGUGUUGGUGUUGCCGCUUGCACCACAGACAGAAGGAUUUACAUAUUCCAUGAACAAACAUAGCCACCAUAACUCAAAGGUUAGAAGUCCUCAAAGAAGACCUUAGUGCCAGGGUUACAAGUCCCGAAACAGGCCAACCAAUCAGCCACAACAUUUCCUACACGAAGGAUGUGGAGAAAAUCAACUUGUUCCUGCAUUUCUCUGAUUGUAUCAACCUGCAUGCAAUAAGCAACUUUGGUGCACAGAUUGUUACCUGGAUGAAGGGGGUUGAACAAAUUGGUGCAUUUGUGGCUUCAAGGGGUGACUUUAGCUUUGAUAAUCAGCAGAGAUAUUCAAGAACUAAAGCAUACAAUUCACACCACCAAAGCUGGUAUGCAG